AUAAGGGUUGAUGCGAUCGCAUAAGGUAGUUGGGUCUGCGGUCCCUAGCAAAGGUUUGUUCUAUGCGAGCGCAGAGGUGAUAUGCGAUCGAAUAGUGUUAUUUUGGGAAGGUGGAAAUUUGUGAAUUGUGAGCGAAAUGGAUGUGAUGCGAUCGCAUAGAGUAAUAACUGGACAGACAUAAUGGUUUUAAAUGUUAUUUCAUCCGCGACCUAUCUUACUUUUCCACCAUUUUGCCACCACCUUGGGAGUUGUUGGUUUACUUUGAAGGGUAUAUUGACAGGAAGUGAUUGGAGGUAGGUAUCGAGGCCUAG
rnacentral:lncRNA from 1 species